rnacentral:rRNA from 1 species
UACGGAGGGUGCGAGCGUUGUCCGGAAUCACUGGGCGUAAAGGGCGCGUAGGCGGCUCGGUCAGCGUGCGGUGAAAGCCCGGGGCUCAACCCCGGGUCGGCCGUGGCAACUGUCGAGCUGGAGCACUGUAGAGGCAGGUGGAAUUCCGGGUGUAGCGGUGGAAUGCGUAGAGAUCCGGAAGAACACCGGUGGCGAAGGCGGCCUGCUGGGCAGUGGCUGACGCUGAGGCGCGACAGCGUGGGGAGCAAACAGG